UCAUAGAGUUGUUGUGAAGAUUAAAUGGGU
rnacentral:piRNA from 2 species